AAAACCUUAAUUUCUUUUCGACUGAAGAAAGAAAGACAUGAACAUCUUGGAUGACAUGGGGAUAUUAGUGGUUUGGAUUCAUCUGACUGCUGUUCCUCCAGUGGCUGGACUUCCAGGGACUCUGGAGUCAACUGGCACUAUGGAAGACAAAAAAACAAGAAUAAUGGACAGUGUUGGUGGUGGAGGGAGUGGGGUCAUGUCAUCCUCAUCCUGACAUAAAGCCAGAUCGUCACGACCAGAUUCAACUUCAAUGACGGAGGAUGCCAGAGUACUGGUACUGCCUGAAGAGCC